CUACGGAGGGUGCGAGCGUUAUCCGGAUUUAUUAGGUUUAAAGGGUGUGUAGGCGGGAGCCUAAGUCAGUGGCGAAAUCUCACAGCUUAACUGUGAAACUGCCAUUGAAACUGGGUUUCUUGAGUAUAGUUGAGGUAGGCGGAAUGUGUAAUGUAGCGGUGAAAUGCAUAGAUAUUACACAGAACACCGAUUGCGAAGGCAGCUUACUAAGCUAUUACUGACGCUGAUGCACGAAAGCGUGGGUAGCGAACAGGAUUAGAAACCCGGGUAGUCC
rnacentral:rRNA from 1 species